rnacentral:rRNA from 1 species
GGGCCCGCACAAGCAGUGGAGUAUGUGGUUUAAUUCGAAGCAACGCGAAGAACCUUACCAAGCCUUGACAUCUCCUGCAUAGCAUAGAGAUAUGCGAAGUCCUUCGGGACAGGAAGACAGGUGGUGCAUGGUUGUCGUCAGCUCGUGUCGUGAGAUGUUGGGUUAAGUCCCGCAACGAGCGCAACCCUUACUGAUAGUUACUACGCAAGAGGACUCUAUCGGGACUGCCGUUGACAAAACGGAGGAAGGCGGGGAUGACGUCAAAUCAUCAUGCCCUUUAUGGCUUGGGCUACACACGUACUACAAUGGCCGCAAACAAAGGGGACCGAAGGGGCGACCCGGAGGGAAUCCGAUAAAAGCGGUCUCAGUUCGGAUCGCAGGCUGCAACUCGCCUGCGUGAAGUCGGAAUUGCUAGUAAUCGCGGAUCAGCAUGCCGCGGUGAAUACGUUCCCGGGCCUU